CCAAUGACCUUCGCACCCAUGCCUUUCCUCUAACCCUCUCUCUGUCGAACCCUCGUUCAUCUGUCGAACCUUAAAUCUAAAAUCACCCUCCCCUCACUGGAACCCUAACUCCCUAAGUCUCUUCUCUCGCUCUCUUAUCUACCUUUUAGUUUUCUCUUCUGUCACUCUCUUCUCUCCCUUGCACACGCCAGAAUCGCCGUCGCACAGAAUCCCCUUUGCACACGCCAUCGCAGACUUGCACGUCUCGUGGUCUCGGUCCAAGGCGUGUUCUCCUCGUCGUGUCGUCUCUGUCCCGUGAACGUCUGCGUCCUACUCUCCCGUCCUGUGAGCGUUGCUGUCCUCCCCGUCCCGUGAACGUUGCUGUCCUCCCCGUCCCGUGAAUGCCGCUGUCGUUCUUCCUGAUUCCUGGUCGCUCAUCCCUCACGCCAUUGGCUUCGGUGGUGCCAUUUUGCUGUGCAUAGCUUUGGCCUACUUCAUCUCCGACCACUGUUGGAUGAAGAAGAAACCGAUUAUGAAGAAAAGCAGAGGAGUGGUUGCUCUUCAAAUUAUCCAAGAGGUACAAAUCCUACUAUUUUUUAGGGUUUUAAUUUAUC